CCUAUGAAUCGAAGUCCCAGCUUCGUUGCCGCCGCCGACGUACGAAGUCCUUCGUUGCCGCCGCCGACGUACGAAGUCCUUCGUUGCCGCGAUCUCGUUCGAUCUCCCUGCCGCCGACCCUUCGUUGCCGCCGCCCACGUACGAUCCCCUGCGAUCCCACGUCCGGGAUCGCCACCACCGAUGUAAGGGAUCUUCGCCGCCAAUCUCCCACAGGAACGCCGCCGCCGCCGCCGACCUUCGAGGGGAGAUGCCGUCGCCGCCUGCGCUAAACCCGAGGCGCACGAUGAUGCAGGGGCGCGACCUGGCGACCGUCGGAGCAUGGCGGCGCCCGAUGUGGCGCGGGGUUGAGGAGCUACGAGGGGUGCAGCAGAUCCGGCUGGAGUUGUGCACGUGGUCUGGUGAUGGUGGCCUCCGCCUCCGGACCAGAAUCCGCCACCGCGACCUCUCAUCUAUGCGUCGAGCUCCUCUUCCCGUCUCUCUGGUAUCCGUUGGCGCAACUGCUGCCAUGGCCACAAGCCCGCAAUGAGGACCUCCGCCGCAGCCGUAGCCAUGUUGAGGAGGUCAGUAUUCUUCUGCUAGCUCCGCGCAUGGCAAGCAGGUUGGUUGGCGGCUUCCUUGAACAAGCAGGAACCAUUCCCAUCAGCAGAACAGAGUUUGUUGGCUUUAGCAUUCGGGUCAGUUAACCUAUUUAUGUUUAGGCAAUUCGUUCUCCCAUGUAACCAUUGAUACAAUUUGUAUGUCUUGCAACUCAUGCAGGGUGAGUCACCAAUAGGAAAAGAAAACAUCCGAUUCAGAUGCUAACCUAUGUUUAUUGCUGAUUUCACCUACCACCUGUGUUCAGGCAGAGAUGUAGCCAACCUUCUCUAAUUUUGUUCUUGGAAACCAUGAACGGCCACUGAUGGUGAUGAAAAAAAUAAAGAACGGAAGCAGGUAACUGGACCUAUCUUCAGGCCUGGACUGUUACAUUUUGUCAUAAUCUGUCUUAUUGGUACCUUCCUCUUUGUUUCACAAUGUCAUAAUCUGUCACCAUUGUUACUCUGAAUCUGACCGCAGCCAGACGGUCUUGAUAUUUGCACCAGUCUGUGUGUCGUCUCAGGGGACUGCAAGCACGAGGAGGGUGUCAAGCCCCGGUGCGGCACCAUCAACAACAACACCUCCCAGCUCCUCACUUACGGAUCAUCAUCGCCAUCUUCUAAAUCUUCCUCUUCCUGCCAAUGUAAUGCUCAGUUAGAUUAUACAAACUUAGCAAAUCUCUUUGGUAUACUGACGCGCUGAACAAGAACAUAAUGGUGCUGAAUAGUUCUCAAGAAUUUUUUCGUAUGAUAUGUAUAUACAGUAGCUGGUUCGUCACGUGGUGAACUGCUUUGUAAAUUUGUGAUAUUGUAUUAACUGACGCUGAUUGAUUGAGAGAUUGCAGGGGGUGUGGUCAGACAAAGUGCAGGAAUGGGAGGAGUGCGCCAAGAAUGAGACGGCGUGCCCUGACAUGUACAUAUGCUUGUUCUUUUUUUCAUUUUUUCAAAGGAAAAGGAAAAAAUGUUCACUAAUUAUUCGGUUGUGUAUAAUUAGGAGCGCUUAUUACCUCAAAAAAAUAGGAUCGUGUAACUGUUUAUUUAUGGUACAAAUUAUCAUUUGCCGUUCUAUAUUGCCACAAAAGUUUCUUGAAAAUCACAAAAAGAGGGCCAGUGAUGCUUAUGGGAAGAAGGAAAUAAAAGCACGUAAUGUGACCUACCAUUUUGUUCAUAUUCUUUGUAUUCUUUGAAGUAACUGCCUUUCAGAACUCGAGCGAAUGUGCCUGGAAAUGCAUCCACCCUUCCCUAAGGACGAAGUCCAACACUCCAACCCCGGCUGGUGUACGAUGGGAACAACAGGCUAUUUCAUCACAGACUCACGCAUGAUGAUUUCAGAAGUACAGUUGAAACAUUCUUCUAUAUGUUACCCUCUGCUAUGAGACUGUACUGUUGAAACUGAGCAGCAAAACUUCAUUGAUAAUGCAUUGAUAUAUCUUAUUAGGAUUAUCGUGUCUCAUGUGUUAGCUUAUUAGUUAUGAUAGUGGAAAAUGGUUCGUUUAUUUAACCAACCAUCACACACCCAUUAUUCUGGUGUGUCCAUAUGCAUUUCUUCUUUCUUUAGGCUUGGAACUUUAUACAUGAAAAUAGAUGUUGGCCAGAGUUAGGGUUGCUCUACUAGGCACAUCUUAUUUCAAUGAGUAUCUAUAGUUUCAGCUCAUUAGCUUGUGAUUUUCUCUAAAAUAAAGUAUGGUACCAUGUCAUGUAAUGAAUGUAAUAUUGGUUGUUUUUUGUUGUUCCUUUCCUUAGACAUCUUUCCUCUUCAGUGAUUUACUGCAAAAGUAUUAUUGAUCUCCUAUGUCGAGUGUCGACAAAUAAGCAAUUUCAAUGCCUUUCCAGUGAUGAAUCUCAAUGAAGUGGAAGGAGAGAACAUGAUCUCGGUAAAGAUAUUGUACAAUUUUUUUUGUAGAGCAAUAGCAGAUUUUAUUGCUUAGUUUUUAUAUUCUCUUUCGAAUGUAUUUUUACGCAUUAUUGACUUGGAAUAGACGACAUCUCACAAUCAUGUUUGAAGUAACUCUACAAAAAUCAUAACAUGGUUGCCUGUUGUUGUCCAGUACAUUAUGUUCCAUUUUCUCCAUAAUUAUGCUCCCUUUAUGUGUGGUUCUAUUCUGUUUACCAUUUUUUUAAUUCAUUCAUCCAAUAUUUGUUCUCGGGUCAUUGUCUAUUCUAUGAGCAAUAGGACCAUAAGCCCUCCAUGGAUCUAAUCGUGGGUACUACUUUUUAUUGUUACCCAACUGACAAUAUCCUAACGAGCUAUACAUGGUAGCUAUUAUAUUCAAGCUCCCUGAGUUUUUCCAUUCGACCUUUAAAUGUGUGUUAUUUGUGGUAGAUGUAUCAUUCAAAAGAGUAUUGGUCAAGAUCGUACAUUGCACGUGCAAACUUAGUAACUUACUAGGCAAAAACACUUAGUCACAGUCGGAUCUUUGUACUGCAAAAAAAUGAUAGUUGGAUAAUUCAUGAUAAACGUGUAUUGAUGGCAAAAACAUUUAGCUAUCUAUACUUGCACUUAAUUUUUGGGUUAAUUGUAAAAAUUGGGGGGGGGGGGGGGGGGGGCGGGCAUGGUUCACCUAUAAAGAGGUAGCGUUUCAGACUCUCGCAUGAUGACAUACAGAAAAGUGUCUAGCUUUGUUGCAAGUCAGUUAAAUUUCAGGUUUCUUCUAGCGCUUCCGAUAAACAUGAGGAAGGACUCCCCACAAAAAAAAUUGAGAAGGAUUACUAUUGUUGUUCAUGGGAAAUUAUCUUCCUUCGACAUACACAGGCACUCAUGCAACCAUGAAAUUAUCUCUCUGACAAAGUACAUAUGUCAGCACGAGAAGUAUCUUUCUUAGGUGUGCAUUCGAAGUCUCUACUUAAUAAUGUUUUUUUAUGUCCCAACCUGAAUGAUGAGAGUCCGCAAGUGAAUUUUAUAAUAAUCCAUUUUAUAUUCUACUUACAAGUUCAAACAAUAACCCUAAUUUAUCAUGUAGUAAAUUAGUUGUACUACAUAUACUCCAUUUUUCUUAUGUACCUAGCUUGCUCAAUUUAAAUAAAGGACACCAUUUUGUUAAUUUUCUUGAGCUUUGAAAUCUAGAUUUAUUUGAUGGAAUAUGUUGCAAAUAAGAUAGGAAUGUGGAGGCGAAUGGAGUGAGUGCAAUAGGGGACAAGAUUGAUGGCGGGGAGAAGAGGUGCCACCCAAUGCUAUGGAGGGCCGGGAGAGUAUCAAGGGAAGUGAGGCUGUAGGGACAGGAGCGGAUGGGCUCCGCCAGUGGCGUGGAGAGGAGUGUUGCUGCCGUGGAGGGGAGAGGAGCUUGCGGUGAAGUUGUCGAGGGAAGGGAGGCGGCAAAAUUGAUGAAUCAUUUCAUGUUCGUUUUGCAGUAAUUUGUACAUAUUUAAGUUGAAGGGCCACCAUCUUACUAACAUAGGUCAAAAGGAUUUUGUUUGCCCACAUCCAGGUUGUGCUAAGGUAGGGAUUCACUAAGUUUCCAUUUGUAUAUAUUUAAGUUGAAGGGCCACCAUCUUACUAACACAGGUCAAAAGGAUUUUGUCUGCCCACAUCCAGGUUGUGCUAAGGUAGGGAUCACUAAGUUUCCAUUGCAUGAAAACAUAUUUGCUCCUAAUUCUCACCAUACAUCUUGAGUUCAUAGCUGCAGUGUUCUUCUAUCUAAUGAUGCUAUCAAUUGUACCCUGCCUAAUAUGUUUCAUUGAUUUGAUUAGAUGAAAUAGCAUGCCAAUUCUAUCUAACUGAAGAUGUUUCACUGAUUUGAUUACAUAUACUUUCCUCUGACGGGUGAUGGUGAUUCCCAACUCCUCCUGGACCUGUUUAUUGAUGGCUAUUUUUAAAGAAUCAUGAUGUGAUAUCGUCCUUUCAUUUGUUUCAUGGAUCUUUAUUGCAGCGGUUCAAGAACCUCGAAGAUGGCUACCUCUCCUUCCUCAAGAUCGUGGCGAGAACAAGAGGAUCAAAGUUGAAGAUACAUCAGCCACUGCAUAUGGCGAGGGGGCUGGAGAAGAAGUGACCAAUACAACAUGAUGGGGGGCUUGUCGAUGAUGGACGAGAUGGUCUUGAUUCGGAGAAAAACAAGGACGACAACACAACAACGCAGGGGUUAAAGAGAGUAAGAGAAACAUGAGGGCAGGGGGACUUGAUGUUCCCGAUGGUUUGCGUGCUUCGCUGUUGUGUGUUUGUGCUUGAUGUGUUUGCAAAGGCACCUGAUUUUGUAUUGGCACAUCUAAAAGUUUUUAAAUUUUGUUUAGUAAAUUGGCCA